rnacentral:tRNA from 1 species
CGGAGUGUAGCUCAGUUUGGUAGAGCACUGCUUUUGGGAAGCAGGGGCCGUAGGUUCGAAUCCUAUCACUCCGA